ensembl:lncRNA
GCAGGUUUGGGAGGGCGAUGCAGGAAGGCUCCAGGCUGACAUGGGGCUUCCCUUGCCCACGUCCCCUUGCAUGGGUCCGCUACUCAUUGCGCCAUGAAGGCCAGAUACCCCAGUGCCUCUGGUGUCCUCAGAGCGUCUAGCUUACAUCUGCACCUCCACGUGUAUUGUCAUUUGAAGUGGGCGAGGGGCUCUCGAUGGAAAGUCAGAUCUAGGUCCUUCCUGCUGGGUCAUGAACCAGGAAGCAGAAUGGCCACGAACCAAGUUAUUCCAUCAGGAUUUACCCAAAGGAGUUGGAAACUUAUGUCCACACAAAAAUGUGCAUGCUGGUGUCUAUGGAGGCUUUGUUCAUAAUCGCCAAAACCUGAAAGCAAUCAAGAUGUCCUUCAGCAGGUGGAGGAACUCAUAAACUGUGGUACAUUCAGACAAUGGAAUGCUGCUGCUGCUGCUGCUAAGUCGCUUCAGUCGUGUCCGACUCUGUGCGACCCCAUAGACGGUAGCCCACCAGGCUCCUCCGUCCAUGGGAUUCUCCAGACCAUGACAGGGACCCUGUUCAUCCAUCACUCGUCUGGCCAGCCCCACCUAGGAGGUGCCAGGUCCCGUGCUAAACAUGGCAGACAGAGAUGAAUAGACACAGCCACAGCCUCUCGUCUUGUUCAUUUCCACACCCUUGGCAUCAAGAGCGGUGCUUCGCAAAUAAAAGACCUUUGUUGAAGGAAUGGGUGAAAAGAAUCCCUGAAUGACCCCACAUCAGGU